UACGUAGGAUGCAAGCGUUGUCCGGAUUUACUGGGCGUAAAGCGCGCGCAGGCGGCACUCUAAGUACGUCGUGAAAUCUCCUUGCUCAACGGGGAGGGUGCGAAGUAGACUAGGGAGCUAGAGGUCGGUAGAGGGGGGUGGAAUUGCUGGUGUAGCGGUGAAAUGCGUAGAGAUCAGCAGGAACACCCGUGGCGAAGGCGGCCCCCUGGGCCGAAACUGACGCUGAGGAGCGAAAGCGUGGGGAGCAAACAGG
rnacentral:rRNA from 1 species